rnacentral:rRNA from 1 species
GGGUUGUGAGGUUAAGCGACUAAGCGUACACGGUGGAUGCCCUGGCAGUCAGAGGCGAUGAAGGACGUGCUAAUCUGCGAAAAGCGUCGGUAAGGUGAUAUGAACCGUUACAGCCGGCGAUGUCCGAAUGGGGAAACCCAGUGCAAUUCGUUGCACUAUCGUUUGAUGAAUACAUAGUCAAACGAGGCGAACCGGGGGAACUGAAACAUCUAAGUACCCCGAGGAAAAGAAAUCAACCGAGAUUCCCCCAGUAGCGGCGAGCGAACGGGGAGCAGCCCGGAGUCUGAAUCAGCUUGUGUGUUAGUGGAAGCGUCUGGAAAGUCGCAGGGUACAGGGUGAUACUCCCGUACACUAAAACGCACAGGCUGUGAACUCGAAGAGUAGGGCGGGACACGUGGUAUCCUGUCUGAAUAUGGGGGGACCAUCCUCCAAGGCUAAAUACUCCUGACUGACCGAUAGUGAACCAGUACCGUGAGGGAAAGGCGAAAAGAACCCCGGCGAGGGGAGUGAAAAAGAACCUGAAACCGUGUACGUACAAGCAGUAGGAGCCCACUUGUUGGGUGACUGCGUACCUUUUGUAUAAUGGGUCAGCGACUUAUAUUCUGUAGCAAGGUUAACCGUAUAGGGGAGCCGCAGGGAAACCGAGUCUUAACUGGGCGUUAAGUUGCAGGGUAUAGACCCGAAACCCGGUGAUCUAGCCAUGGGCAGGUUGAAGGUUGGGUAACACUAACUGGAGGACCGAACCGACUAAUGUUGAAAAAUUAGCGGAUGACUUGUGGCUGGGGGUGAAAGGCCAAUCAAACCGGGAGAUAGCUGGUUCUCCCCGAAAGCUAUUUAGGUAGCGCCUCGUGAAUUCAUCUUCGGGGGUAGAGCACUGUUUCGGCUAGGGGGUCAUCCCGACUUACCAACCCGAUGCAAACUACGAAUACCGAAGAAUGUUAUCACGGGAGACACACGGCGGGUGCUAACGUCCGUCGUGAAGAGGGAAACAACCCAGACCGCCAGCUAAGGUCCCAAAGUCAUGGUUAAGUGGGAAACGAUGUGGGAAGGCCCAGACAGCCAGGAUGUUGGCUUAGAAGCAGCCAUCAUUUAAAGAAAGCGUAAUAGCUCACUGGUCGAGUCGGCCUGCGCGGAAGAUGUAACGGGGCUAAACCAUGCACCGAAGCUGCGGCAGCGACACUAUGUGUUGUUGGGUAGGGGAGCGUUCUGUAAGCCGUUGAAGGUGGCCUGUGAGGGUUGCUGGAGGUAUCAGAAGUGCGAAUGCUGACAUAAGUAACGAUAAUGCGGGUGAAAAACCCGCACGCCGGAAGACCAAGGGUUCCUGUCCAACGUUAAUCGGGGCAGGGUGAGUCGACCCCUAAGGCGAGGCCGAAAGGCGUAGUCGAUGGGAAACAGGUUAAUAUUCCUGUACUUGGUGUUACUGCGAAGGGGGACGGAGAAGGCUAUGUUGGCCGGGCGACGGUUGUCCCGGUUUAAGCGUGUAGGUGUGUGUUCCAGGUAAAUCCGGUUCACUUUAACACUGAGGCGUGAUGACGAGGCACUACGGUGCUGAAGUGACAAAUGCCCUGCUUCCAGGAAAAGCCUCUAAGCAUCAGGUAACAUCAAAUCGUACCCCAAACCGACACAGGUGGUCAGGUAGAGAAUACCAAGGCGCUUGAGAGAACUCGGGUGAAGGAACUAGGCAAAAUGGUGCCGUAACUUCGGGAGAAGGCACGCUGAUAUGUAGGUGAAGUGAUUUACUCAUGGAGCUGAAAUCAGUCGAAGAUACCAGCUGGCUGCAACUGUUUAUUAAAAACACAGCACUGUGCAAACACGAAAGUGGACGUAUACGGUGUGACGCCUGCCCGGUGCCGGAAGGUUAAUUGAUGGGGUUAUCCGUAAGGAGAAGCUCUUGAUCGAAGCCCCGGUAAACGGCGGCCGUAACUAUAACGGUCCUAAGGUAGCGAAAUUCCUUGUCGGGUAAGUUCCGACCUGCACGAAUGGCGUAAUGAUGGCCAGGCUGUCUCCACCCGAGACUCAGUGAAAUUGAACUCGCUGUGAAGAUGCAGUGUACCCGCGGCAAGACGGAAAGACCCCGUGAACCUUUACUAUAGCUUGACACUGAACACUGGUCCUUGAUGUGUAGGAUAGGUGGGAGGCUUUGAAGCGUGGACGCCAGUCUGCGUGGAGCCAUCCUUGAAAUACCACCCUUUAAUGGCUGGUGUUCUAACGUGGGCCCCUAAUCGGGGUUGCGGACAGUGUCUGGUGGGUAGUUUGACUGGGGCGGUCUCCUCCUAAAGAGUAACGGAGGAGCACGAAGGUCAGCUAAUCCUGGUCGGACAUCAGGAGGUUAGUGCAAUGGCAUAAGCUGGCUUGACUGCGAGCGUGACGGCGCGAGCAGGUGCGAAAGCAGGUCAUAGUGAUCCGGUGGUUCUGAAUGGAAGGGCCAUCGCUCAACGGAUAAAAGGUACUCCGGGGAUAACAGGCUGAUACCGCCCAAGAGUUCAUAUCGACGGCGGUGUUUGGCACCUCGAUGUCGGCUCAUCACAUCCUGGGGCUGAAGUAGGUCCCAAGGGUAUGGCUGUUCGCCAUUUAAAGUGGUACGCGAGCUGGGUUUAGAACGUCGUGAGACAGUUCGGUCCCUAUCUGCCGUGGGCGCUGGAGAAUUGAGGGGGGCUGCUCCUAGUACGAGAGGACCGGAGUGGACGCAUCACUGGUGUUCGGGUUGUCAUGCCAAUGGCAUUGCCCGGUAGCUAAAUGCGGAAGAGAUAAGUGCUGAAAGCAUCUAAGUACGAAACUUGCCCCGAGAUGAGUUCUCCCUGACUCCUUGAGAGUCCUGAAGGAACGUUGAAGACGACGACGUUGAUAGGCCGGGUGUGUAAGCGCAGCGAUGCGUUGAGCUAACCGGUACUAAUGAACCGUGAGGCUUAACCUUACAACGCCGAAG